CUGGUCGGGACACUGCACAGCCAAUUGACUCAUAGUCUAGUGUGGAGAACUAUAGAUAAAUAUGCAGAUGAAGAACUAGCCAGGAAUUCAACUGAGAAUAGUUACAGAUUUCUAUUUCCAUGACUAAGAAGCAGAAGCAAGACACUGUCCACAUCUUUUUCAAGUCAUAGCUGGGAAUUAAAAUGAUACCUCAUUUGUCAGCAUGGAUGGCUUGAGUAUGGGCAUCCUCUAAGAGCAGCAGCAUCUUGUGUUAUUUUCUCAUCUGAAGAGAAGAAGCCAGUCUUCAUGUCACCACUUCAAGAACCAACUUGUAGUCUGUC
rnacentral:lncRNA from 1 species